rnacentral:rRNA from 1 species
AGCAGUCGCCGCGGGAAUACAGAGGGUGCAAGCGUUAAUCGGAUUUACUGGGCGUAAAGCGUGCGUAGGCGGCUUUUUAAGUCGGAUGUGAAAUCCCUGAGCUUAACUUAGGAAUUGCAUUCGAUACUGGGAAGCUAGAGUAUGGGAGAGGAUGGUAGAAUUCCAGGUGUAGCGGUGAAAUGCGUAGAGAUCUGGAGGAAUACCGAUGGCGAAGGCAGCCAUCUGGCCUAAUACUGACGCUGAGGUACGAAAGCGUGGGGAGCAAACAGGAUUAGAUACCCCUGUAGUCCCUGUCUCUUAUAA